CGAUGCGUGACCCCAGAUUUUUUCUUUCGUCGGUCGGUGCUUUGGAUCGACGGUCAGACGGUGCUCCAUGACUUUCGUGUCAAUCCCCGGCAUGUCCACUGGGACCCAAGCAAAAAUAUCUGCAUUCUUACGUAGAAAAUCGAUGAGAUGCGUCCGCACCUCUUCCCCCAGGUUGGAGCCGAUCUUCACCACAUGCUCCGCAUUUUUGUCGUUCAAAGGGAUCGAAACCAGAUCUUCGAUUGGGCCGCCCCUCUCCUCUGCGAGGUCGUCGCGGGCGUCCAGCCCAUCAACUGGACAG
rnacentral:lncRNA from 1 species